rnacentral:rRNA from 1 species
GACGAACGCUGGCGGCGUGCUUAACACAUGCAAGUCGAACGCUGAAGCUCAGCUUGCUGGGUGGAUGAGUGGCGAACGGGUGAGUAACACGUGAGUAACCUGCCCUCUUCUUUGGGAUAACGCCCGGAAACGGGUGCUAAUACUGGAUAUUCACUGAUUCUCGCAUGGGGGUUGGUGGAAAGGUUUUUUCUGGUGGGGGAUGGGCUCGCGGCCUAUCAGCUUGUUGGUGGGGUGAUGGCCUACCAAGGCUUUGACGGGUAGCCGGCCUGAGAGGGUGACCGGUCACAUUGGGACUGAGAUACGGGCCAGACUCCUACGGGAGGCAGCAGUGGGGAAUAGUGCACAAUGGGCGAAAGCCUGAUGCAGCGACGCCGCGUGAGGGAUGGAGGCCUUCGGGUUGUAAACCUCUUUCGCUCAUGGUCAAGCCGCAGCUUUGGGUUGUGGUGAGGGUAGUGGGUAAAGAAGCGCCGGCUAACUACGUG